rnacentral:rRNA from 1 species
UACGGAGGGGGCUAGCGUUGUUCGGAAUUACUGGGCGUAAAGCGUGCGCAGGCGGCUUUGCAAGACAGAUGUGAAAUCCCCGGGCUUAACCUGGGAACUGCAUUUGUGACUGCAUGGCUGGAGUGCGGCAGAGGGGGAUGGAAUUCCGCGUGUAGCAGUGAAAUGCGUAGAUAUGCGGAGGAACACCGAUGGCGAAGGCAGUCCCCUGGGCCUGCACUGACGCUCAUGCACGAAAGCGUGGGGAGCAAACAGG